rnacentral:sRNA from 1 species
GGUGGCUUCGGGUGACGAUCCGAGAGCACGCUUUAGGGUGACGACCCGAGAGCGAGUUUUGUGGUAUUAUUUUCUCCAAGUGUCGUAACUCGAUGACUUUGUGGCUGAGAGUGAGUCGACACAACUCUGGGUUUGACUUUGAGUGGGGAAGAUAAUAUGUGUGAUACCCGAGAUAUCGUAGGCCGAAGCCUGAGAGUGACGGUUUAUGCUCGAAGAUUGCGGUCUGAGAGUGGAGAGUGAGUUGUGAGCAACAAUGACUAGUAAAUCGUGAGUAUAUCGACUGGAUAGAGAGACCUAGAGGGGGUCUGGUUGGAGGGAGUGCGGACUGUAGUGAUGGUUGCACGGAGUUCCUCGGAGUGGAAGGGUGAAGCUAGAUUCGAGGACGAAUCUAUGUUAGUGGGAGAGAAUUGUAACGCCCGUGAACCGGAAAAUCGAUUAGGAUUUGUUUUUAAAUCAUCCGGUUUAAUUGGUUGGGUUAAUAACAAACCCUAGAGUGUGCCUAUAAAAGAAGGAACCUCGAAAUUAGGCUUUAGUUAGCCACUUUUCGUUUAUAAAGGAGAAAAAGAGAGAAAAGGAGAAGGAGCAGAAUCAUUAGGGUUUGGGAGAAAUCAGUUUCGUCAUAUCAAAUCGUGGUAAAAGGUAACGAAAUUUGGUAUAGUUAUUCUCAAGUCCUUUAUCGUUAUUCUCCAAUUUACAGAAUUGGAUUUGGAUUAAAAUUGGUUGAGUUAUUCGCAGUUUUGUGAGACACGUUUUCUCAGACGCGAAUUAGGACCAGCGGAGAUUGAAACUGAGAUCGUGGUCUCGUCUGUUUUCCGAUCGGCACGAGAUUUUGUGGGCAGCUUUGUGACGUCUGCAGCUAGGAUAUCACUGGAGCGAUUGAAUAGUUAACGGUUAGCUUGUAUUUUAGGGUUUCGUCUUUGAGACUGCUUGUUUCUGGUUUUUCCUGUCCAGUUUGCUUCAAGGUUGCUUUUGGUUGUGGACUUGUUGUAGGACGUUUAUGGACUGUUUCAGACGCAAGGAGAGUCUCUCCUGUGUUUAAUUGCUCUUAGAAUCAAUUUGUUAAGGUGAGUGCGUGACCAUGAGCUUAUCUGAGCGAUUGGGUUGUGUGAUUUAUUUUGUGUGAUGAUAUGUAGGUGUGGUGAAUGUGUUUUGGGUGAAUUGUUCAAUGACUGAUUUGUUUGUAUUGUAUUCGUGAUUAUACCCUUUUAUUUGCUUGUGUGUAUAGCUCGUAGAUGGGAGGAUCGCCUCACUAAGUAUUUAUGAUAAUAUUUACGCAUCUCGUUGUGUUGUUGAUGCAGGUAAAGAUAAAGUGUGAUCGUGGAAUCAUGGCUAGGAAGAGAGGAUGAUCUAGGAACUCGUUUGUUUUAUUUUUGGUAUUUUUGGUUAUUGGAAUCCGGUUAGGAUUGUCAGUUAUUCUUGGUUUUGUUGGUCGAAUUAUUUAUUUAUUUAUAAAAUAGUAUUUUUGAUUUACGGUUUAAUUAUUAUGUUAUUGGUUGAUUUAAUUAAAUAUUUAUGAGAAUAUUUAAUUAUAUUUU